GGAAGGAUCAUUACCGAGUGUAGGGUUCCUAGCGAGCCCAACCUCCCACCCGUGUUUACUGUACCUUAGUUGCUUCGGCGGGCCCGCCAUUCAUGGCCGCCGGGGGCUCUCAGCCCCGGGCCCGCGCCCGCCGGAGACACCACGAACUCUGUCUGAUCUAGUGAAGUCUGAGUUGAUUGUAUCGCAAUCAGUUAAAACUUUCAACAAUGGAUCUCUUGGUUCCGGCAUCGAUGAAGAACGCAGCGAAAUGCGAUAACUAGUGUGAAUUGCAGAAUUCCGUGAAUCAUCGAGUCUUUGAACGCACAUUGCGCCCCCUGGUAUUCCGGGGGGCAUGCCUGUCCGAGCGUCAUUGCUGCCCAUCAAGCACGGCUUGUGUGUUGGGUCGUCGUCCCCUCUCCGGGGGGGACGGGCCCCAAAGGCAGCGGCGGCACCGCGUCCGAUCCUCGAGCGUAUGGGGCUUUGUCACCCGCUCUGUAGGCCCGGCCGGCGCUUGCCGAACGCAAAUCAAUCUUUUUCCAGGUUGACCUCGGAUCAGGUAGGGAUACCCGCUGAACUUAAGCAUAUCAAUAAGCGGA
rnacentral:rRNA from 1 species